rnacentral:rRNA from 1 species
UACGGAGGGUGCAAGCGUUAUCCGGAUUCACUGGGUUUAAAGGGUGCGUAGGUGGGCAGGUAAGUCAGUGGUGAAAUCUCCGGGCUUAACCCGGAAACUGCCAUUGAUACUAUUAGUCUUGAAUGUUGUUGAGGUGGGCGGAACGGGUCAUGUAGCGGUGAAAUGCAUAGAUAUGACCCGGAACACCGAUUGCGAAGGCAGCCCACUAAGCAACGAUUGACGCUGAGGCACGAAAGCGUGGGGAUCAAACAGG